rnacentral:lncRNA from 1 species
AUGUGGGCGGAAGUAACUGCUACAGCUGGCAGCCUAGGGUACUUGAAGGACACCUUGCAGCACUGUCACAUCAGUCACUUCCGGCCGCCUAAACAUGCAAAUGGGCUUUAAUUGUAAAAGACACAUGACAAAAUAGUAAGGGAACUUAGAAUAAAAGGUCAAGGCUUGACCAAUACCUUCCGACGAGAAGCCCGUGGUCAAAAAAAUAAAAAGUCAAAUGCUUCUAGUGCACCAGUUCGAUAAAAUGCAACCCUUUUCUCCCUACAGAAACCACUCACAUUUUAUCUAGCACACCACAGAAGAAUGACUAAAGGCAACUAAAGACUUUUUAAAGAGAAAGGCAAGAUCAAGAAACAAAAACCCCUAGACUUAGAGUCAUAAGCACUGAUAUUUACAAUCCCGAUACUCAUGACUGAUACUCAUGACUGGGGCUGAUGAUGGGUACUCGGAGAUCCCAGUCAGCAAAGUCAAAGUUAACAACAAUCGCAAGAAUAUAAGAAAGAAUGCUAAACAUAAACUAAAAGAAAGAAACUGAAAGUCAGGAGAAGCUGAUACACCAACAGCUGAUGACAGGAAGCUAAGAUUACUGUACAACAUUGGAACUUGAACUAAACAGGUAAAACUGAUUAGACCUCUCUCUACAACACAUAAAGGUGUCCCCGAGACACACAAACCUAAAACAUACCUAAAGAGGCAAGGCUAACCCUGCAAGCAACAUUAGAGAAUGAUAAGCUUACCAAGUCUGGAAGGUACAAGCUGGCAUGAGGCUCCCUUGGGCAGAGCAAUCUGCCUAUAAAAGGAGGGUCUUGUUCCAGCCCAAAAUUCCAACCAAGGAGCUACCUUUUGGAGUUGAUCCUCGACCUUCCCCCCUGCCAUAGUGGACUUUACUAUAGAACCACUCCCCUUUUGGCGAUGCCUGUAAGUUGUGGAUAACA